ensembl:lncRNA
UUCCACAAGUGGACACCUUUUUGACUCCAGAUUUCCACAGUCCUGCGACUCGGGAGUAGAUUAAAAGCGGGCAGCUCGGUAUAUAUCCGGCAUUUGUUUCUCUGUCAAUGCCUUAAUUUUCAUUGAGUUUCGGUCGUGGCUCUGAUUAUAUCGUCACUGGAGGCCCGAGAAUGUAAUCUGUCCUCAAGUUUUAGGUCUUUGCUACAAACGGCAAAUUAGGCUUAAAACGAGUCAACAAUCUGUACGAUCAGCAAUCCAAAGCCAUAAAACGAUCUCAAAACUAGUGACUCGGAGAUCAGGUGCAGCACUUGUGAGAUUAAACGUUUUUUGUUGUUUCUUUUUUUUUUUUUGCAACAAAUAGUGUUUGAUGUCAAAGCGAAAAAACAAAGAAAAAAAGCAAAACAAAAAAAAACAAAAAAAAAAACAAGUGUAUUGCGGUCUUGGGAGUGUGUUUUCACAUCAAGUCUGAGGCUGCAGUAAACGUCAGUCCUGGAUGUGUACAGGACCCACUCGAACCUAGUCCCUGGUUCAGAAGCACAUUCGAUUGUUUUCCGACUGUCCUCGUUCGCAGGUUAAAGUGUUCUUUCUACGUUCAGGUCCUGAAUUGGCACCCAUCUGUAGCUACUGUCAUUUUCUGAUUGGAACUUAAAAAAAAACAAACCUCUGUUUAUAUCAACCUAACGCUGUUAGCGGUAGGGUCAGAUAGCGGCUCAUAGUUCACAGCACUGAGGGCUUGAAUGACGUUCCUAUCAUCUUCCCGCAGGAGCCACAUGGCAUAAGGCUAUGAAUUUCUCCUCACUCAUUCAUUCUACAACUUCUGUUCUCUUUCUGAUGUCUUUUUUUUUGUUUGUUUUUCUUUCAAUCUACCUUCAGUUGUACUGGCAAUGUAAAUGUAAGCCAAGUUGUGAUUCCUACAGGAGACCAAGUGGAGAAGAUUUUGUCAGUAGUAUGGAAAAGGAACACUGAACUCUUGAAUCUUUUUGCAUGUUGUGGAAAAGUGCGAAGCGGUGAUGAUGAUGAUGGUGGUAAUGGCAAUAUUGUGGUCUUACAAAAAAAAAAGUAUUAACAACGAUGUUGAUAAUGUUUUUGGUUUCCCAGCUUCUAAUAAAGGCAACC